ensembl:lncRNA
CAUGCACGCACCCAUCCUGGUUAUUGCCUACGUGGUAUUCAGUUCUGUCGGAGCUGCUAGAAACCAUGGACUAAUUCUCUAUUAGGGGUACUUAGGCUAUUAUGCAAACAUUGCUACAAUGAAUAACUUUGUAUACGUAUGUCUGUCAAGGUAUAGUCUCUUUUAUCUACUCCACUGCAAAUAUAUAUUGAGGUUGCUAUGUUGUACUGCAGAUUCUUGGCAUUGAAGAAGGCAACACUGAAUGUGUUAUCUAGUCACUACAAGUGUCAAGUUCAUUCAAUGUCAUCAGAAAUUGAUCGGCAUUUUUCUGGAUACCAAGAUCUAGCCCUGUAGAUCCUAUUGUGGAUUCUUUACCAGCUGAACCACAAGGGAAGCCCAAGAAUAUUGGAGUGGGUAGCCUAUCUCUUCUCCAGCGGAUCUUCCUGACCCAGGAACUGAAUGGGAUCUCCUGCAUUGCAAGCAGAUACUUCACCAACUGAACUACCAGGGAAGCCCAAGAGUUCAACAAUCUGUUACCUCAGUAACAGCUCAGGACGACAGUGAGAGGAGUGUCCCAAGGAUAUCUUGAGUGAUUAUUGCAGUAAGUUCAGUUGAAGGUCUGAGGAGGUGGGUAUUGAAGAGGUCAGAGGUGGCAAGCGAAGGUAGGUCUAAACCUGCUUACAAAGAUGAAAUGUUACCCUGAAUCCUGUCUCUGGUUACAUCUGCAAGGUUUCAGUUUCCCUAGACACUGCUUCAGCCCUCUGUCCCCAGAUCACCCUGGUGGUAUUUGAAUUGUCAAUUUCCAGCCUCUCCCCCUAUUCCCCGUGCGAUGGGGCUAGAAUUCACAUUCACUUACAGUGCAGGUGUGAAUAGAAAUGUGAACAGUUUCACAGAGGAACCUGGCAAUGGCAGGGCCCAACUGGUAGAGAUAAGGAUCUGAUGGGGUUCUGUAGGCACUGGCACAGUCCUGUGGGAGAGAUAGCAUGAUGGUGGAUGUUUAUAUUGAUGCUACCACACUUUAUAUUUUUUUUCCAUUUAUAAAUUUGUUUUUAUUGCCACCAGGGAACUCCCAACUAUCAGUUCAAUUCAGCCACUCAGUCAUGUCUGACUCUUUGCGACCCCAUGAACCACAGCACGCCAGGCCUCCCUGUCCAUCACCAACUCCCAGAGUCCACCCAAACCCAUGUCCAUCGAGUUGGUGAUGCCAUCCAACCAUCUCAUCCUCUGUCGUCCCCUUCUCCUCCUGCCCUCAAUCUUUCCCAGUAUCAGGGUGUUUUCAAAUGAGUCAACUCUUUGCAUCAGGUGGCCAAAGUAUUGGAGUUUCAGCUUCAACAUCAAUCCUUCCAAUGAAUACCCAGGACUGAUCUCCUUUAAUAAAAACCACAGAGUAUUCUCAGAAAUAAAAGCUUCAAGAAGGAAUGCUUAGGUUACAGAAUUCUGAUUGUCAAGCAUUCUUAUUCUCAAGAUUUUAUAUACAACCCUUCUCAAAGUGUCAAUCACCUCAAUGAGACUAAAAGUCAGUUCUGACUUGCAAGGAACAAAAGAUGAACUCUGCUAGGGCUUGAUUUACCUGUUUCUUCAGACUCCUCUAUUUGCUUUCGCUACCCACCUCUCUCACU